AGAACUCUACCAUCCUCGCCCUUGAUGCACCUAACUUGGUCAAGAUCACGCACCUUCCUUUCUCUUUCUUUAACUAACCUGAAUAACUUCUUGUCCCCGCCUUUCUCCCCUAAUUCUUCGUACAUGCGACCAAACGCUGCGUUUUUUGCUUCCGUAACCGCCAUCUUUGCUUCUUUCCUCGCCGCUUUGUAGAUCUCCCUG
rnacentral:lncRNA from 1 species